rnacentral:rRNA from 1 species
GACGAACGCUGGCGGCGUGCUUAACACAUGCAAGUCGAACGGAAAGGCCCUGCUUUUGUGGGGUGCUCGAGUGGCGAACGGGUGAGUAACACGUGAGUAACCUGCCCUUGACUUUGGGAUAACUUCAGGAAACUGGGGCUAAUACCGGAUAGGAGCUCCUGCUGCAUGGUGGGGGUUGGAAAGUUUCGGCGGUUGGGGAUGGACUCGCGGCUUAUCAGCUUGUUGGUGGGGUAGUGGCUUACCAAGGCUUUGACGGGUAGCCGGCCUGAGAGGGUGACCGGCAACAUGGGGAUUGGGAGACGGCCCGGCCUCCGCGGGGGGGAAGAGGGGGGAAAUAUGGCACAAGGGGGGGAAGCCUGAGGCAGCAGCGCCGGGGGGGGGAGGACGGCUUUGGGGUUGAAAACCGCUUUCGCCUGGGACGAAGCGGGAGUGACGGUAAGGGGUAAAGAAGCCCCGGCUAACUACGUC